rnacentral:hammerhead_ribozyme from 1 species
AUCCAUCUGACGAGUCCCAAAUAGGACGAAACGCGCGUCAAACAGGAU